GGGGGCGACCGGUCUCGACGGAGAUGCUGCAGCCCGUGGUGCAUGCCGGGUUGGUGAUCCCGUAAAAAACACCGACGGCAAAUAACUGCCAACGACGACGUAGAACUGGCUUACGCUGCGUAAGUCACCCCGCCCUUGAGGUCGCCCGUCGCCUCGGGGAGCGGGGCCAUCAAGACGGGAUCGCCCGUGCGCUGGUGAUUCGUGGCGUGCGGGUCAAACCUGAACGAAUCGACCCGGCGGGCACCUUGGCCGUUCGGUUUCCGUCGGGUGCUGUGAGAACGGCCUAAGCAUGUAGAGCCAUUGGUGAAUGGUUUCCGGACGCGGGUUCGAUUCCCGCCGCCUCCACCA
rnacentral:tmRNA from 1 species